UUAGCGUGGUUAGGCAAUGAUUAUACGUUAUGAGAACACUGAGUGAAUAUCAUGACUAGAUUGUAGCAGAAUAAAACUGUUAUCAAAAUGUCGUGUAAUUGGCACAAUGGAGAUUACUUUUCGGAGCUAAUACGCGGCGAUAAACGCUCGCACGCAGCACUGGAAAUGCUUGUGGAUGAUUUGCAUGGAGAUAAAGAAAGAACAAUAACCCAGUUUUUAUGUCAUUCGGGGUCAGAAGAUUUUCUUUGGGGUUUGAUCAAACUUCUUGGAAGUGAUAUACCAAGAAUGGCUGGCAACGCUGCAUACAUCAUAGGAACAGUGGCUGAAUCUGACUUGGGCUGUUACCGCAUUUUGUCACUGGCUAGGGAACAAACACGUGGCAACCAUAGUAUCUUGGAAGACUUGACCAGAAUGUUGAAGUUUGAUGAUUCAGAGAGUGUUAUGAAUGCUGCUGGAACCAUGGGGACCUUGGCGGAGAGCAAUGAGGGUCGAGAGUGGAUCCUGGCUGAGCAAUGUUUGGACAGAACACUCGAUCACGUCACUGCCCUAUUACACGCAGACAACAUGUGGACCGCCAGCAAUGCUGCUUUAGUGCUUGCCAGGCUCUGUAUAUCUGAAGAUGGGUGCAAUAAAGUUUUAGGACAUUACAAUUCUAGUUUCAUUCUUUCCAAGCUGGUCCAAGCACUGGGAUCUGAUGAAGCAGGGCGGGGAAUGAAUUCAGCAUUUGCAAUAGGUCGUCUUUGUGACAUGGAUGUUGGAAGGAAGAGAUUGUUAUUACUCCCGGAGUCAGAGAAAAUGAUUUCAGCUCUUGCUAAAAUGUUGAGUUGUGAAGAUACGGGUGCUAGUAAAAAUGCAUGUUUUGCUCUGAGUUGCCUGGCAACAAACAAAGAAGGUCACACGCGCCUUCUGAACAACAUUUAUGCUAAUGAUGUUAUGAAGAGGCUGGCUGAAUUACUUAGUGCUGAUGACAGUGAGACGGGUUGGUUUGCAGCCAUGACGUUACGGACCCUUGCCAGUCAACCAAAAGGCUGCCUUAAACUGAGAGAGAACCACAACAUAUACUUGGCAUUGAAGGCCAUUGAUAUGAAGCCAGACAUUAACCCUGAUCUCAAAGACGAAGUAACAAUGACCUUGGAAAUCCUAAAAAAACUUGAGAAACCUUCACCGCCAGUUAUUGAGGUAACUGGAGCCUAUUCUGUGAGAGUCGCCUGGGAUGAAGUAACUACAAAGAGUGGCUUCACCGUGCGAUACCAGCUAUUUGAAGCUGUUUCAGGAAGCUGUGUGUACACGGGCAAGGAAUGCUGCUGUGAUGUGGACAACUUGGCCCCGUUCACUCCGUACAGCUUCAAGCUGCGAGCGUUCACCGAGGGAGACGAGAGUCCGUUCAGUGAUUAUGUCAGCGUCACCACAGAAGAAGCAGAACCCAGUGCUCCAACAAAUGUGAAGAUUUUAGGUUCAACAGUAACACAGUUAAAAGUGGGAUGGGAUCCUCCAGAACAGAGCAAUGGCAUUUUAAAAGGAUAUUAUAUUUAUUAUGGUCGCAAUAUUGUGGAGUAUACCGCAGAUACCUCAUUCAUAAUCACAGGACUCAGUGCUAAUACUCAGUAUGAAAUUAUGGUUUGUGCAGCUACAGGCAAAGGUAAAGGUGACAAAGCUUCUGUUUUUGGAACCACUCCUGAACUUGGUGCUCAUGCCCCGUCGCGGCCACAGGUGCAUGUGUUGGGUCGUAAUGAGAUCCACGUCAGCUGGGGACCGCCCGAAGUGCCUCUCGGUCGCAUCACACGUUACGACGUCGUCAUGAACGGCAGGGUCGUAUAUUCAGGAACAGAUCUCAGCUUUACGACCCGACGACUCACUCCGGACACCGACUACACCUUUAUCAUUGUAGCUUUAACCAGUGAAGGCAAGUUUGAAAGCAAGUCCACCAAGAAAAGAACAUCCAAAGAUGAAUAUGACACCAGCAGGCCACCACUAUACCAGACACCGCCAGUCAGGAAGGAGUCUCUUGGGGAAGAAAUACCACAGAAACCAGCUCCGCUUAAGAAGAAGAAGUCAGAAACAAAGUUGUCACGAACACCUAGUGCAAAGACAGGACUAAAGUCUUCCGGACACGACUCAGGCUCAGUACGACCUAGUUCUGCUGAAAGUAUCCUCACCUCUGCCAAUGGGAUAACAGAAAAUGCCAGCUUAGUCAAAGAUUCUCAAAAAUGGCAUCCAAACAGCUCUUUACCAAACGGUGUUCAGAAAUCAAAAACAGCCAUAACCAAAUACAAUGUGCAAUGUGACAUUAAAAAAGAAAAUGUUAAUCCUCACUCCAAGUCAUCAAAAGACUCGACCCGCACCUCAUCCUCCAAGGAGCGAGCCAUGGUGAGGACAGAAAAAGUCACUAGUGCUUCCAAAGCAAUGUUCCCAAUUCCUGUCAGCUAUGUUUCUAUUCACGGAGGCGACGACAUGCCAGGCGAUGGAGAACCUGGAAAGACGAACUUUGAACUUAAGAAAUCUCUUGGAAAAACGGCUUCCAUGUACGACGCUACCACAGCAUGUAAUGGUCUGAAGCUGGAGAGGUCUAAGACGUCGUACAUUGGAGCGAAACCUUCAGGGAAGAGCAAGCCAUCAAGCCAGGUGGUUGAUGGGGAGAGUGACCACCUCUCCGACAUGUCGGGCGGGAACUCCUCGAGAACCGAUUCCCCCGAGAAGGUGGUCAACGUGUCCCCUCUGCCGAAACCGAUCAUUCCGAGUCAGCAUUAUCUUGACGGUGGAGGCCACAACUUAGAGGGAAUGCCGCACAUGUCGCGAUCCUUGCCCAGUCCACAGAUGGCGAAGGAGAUUAUUAACUAUCUGGAUGCCGAGUGCUUUGAUCUGGAUUCUCCUUACAAAUCAAAAAAAUUCAUUAGUGACCUUAGCUCAUCCACUGCCUAUCUAACCCUAUCUCACCGCGGUGCCAGUGACUAUCUCAUAGACCAGCAGGAAUUUAUACAGAGGACUAACAACUUUAUUAGCUACCACAGACCAGGUUUAAAAAAGGCUGUGCCACCAAAGAUGAAUUUCUCUGGGAGUACUAUUCACAGUACCAUGGUUCCGGAGAUUCCGGAAAACCGGUCUGCCAAGACUCACAACAAGUUCAUCCCCAUGCAGCUUCGAACCCAGCCUGGAAACCUUACGGGGCAGCUACAGCGGGUGACCACAUCACUCUUAGAACCACGAGGUUUUCCAGCCAGGAGGUUGGAGUCCCUCAGUCGGAGUCACACACAAAUGAUGAUGGAGGCACGACAGCAGCAGUCCAAUAAGAGACUUCGCCAGCAUUCACUGGGUAAUGCUGACCUUGACCUUAUUGGCAUCACAACCACAAAUCCACAUCUUCUAGGGAAAGACAAAUUGGUCCGAUCUCGAGGUAGUUCCCACCGGCGGCUCAACCAUUCAGCUCACUUGAGAGAACCAGAUUCUGCCAUCCUUGGUCAAUCAUGGGCCUCGUAACAUCUAGAAUUCUCAACCAAUCAACUCAUCUGAGAAAAACACUAUUCUAAAAAGUCUCAGUCAUUAAGUCUGAUGAAAAUCUAAUGGUCCUGCUGGAUCAGAUGACCUUUCAUUUGACCAAUCAAAACACAGCUUACAUACAUUUCACAGUUCUAAGCAAGCUGUGACAUUCAGGAUAAUUGUUCCUCAUAAAAGGUCAUCUAGACACAAAAGUGUUGGAUCAUAUCAGAUCUGCCAAUGAAGACAAACUUAGAAUCACAGUAAGAUCUGAAUGGUGCAUACAAACUUUUAGAUGUAGAUUCAAGACUCGUUUCUCUUUUGGCAGAUUACUCAAACUGCGCACUCUUUCCCUUUGGCUUUAAUCCUACAGGACAUUCGAAAUACCAUAGCACCAAAACCAACCCUCCGCCUCUUACCGACCUCUGUCGGGCUGCUGGUGUUCUCUUGCACCUGCCAGUGCAGGUGGUCCCCUCUCCCACCCACCCCAACCCUCUCCUGUCCUGGACAGAGGAGCCGGCAUAGGACGGCACCUGUGCCAUGACAGGCGUGCGCUAAAACAUCUUGCUCUGAAUGUGCACUUUAAACCCUAUACUUGAUCUGACCUGAUUCAAAAUUAAUAGUCAGAGACUUUAGUGUUAUGGGUUUAAUGUGAUGUCAUUAAAGAUUAAGUCUGGUCUCUAAAAUGUUUACAUGCACCAUGUCUGGUGCUUAUAAAACCUUCAGAUUGAGACUCAAGACAGAGAUCUUAACAUCAUGGCUAUGCCAUAUGAAUUGCAUAUGUGUGAUGUUAUGAAAGAUUUCAGUCUAGACCUAACAUUGUAUGAGUACUAGCCCAGAUUGUGAGUCAAUGCAUCUUAAAUUGUAGGUUUCAAAACACUAUGGUCUGUUGGCUUCACAUAUUAAAACAUCAUGGGCUGAAUUUACAAAGCUUUUUGUUGUUGUCUACAUGCGUGCAGCUACACAUACUUUUUAGGCUUAAGAAAAAUAGUCUUCAUAAAUUCAGGCCUGUAUGUAGAGUUUUAUCUUUGCCUUUGAUGUUGUCUCUUAAUAUGAUCUCAAAUUUUAUAUUAAUUUUACCUGUAGAUAUAUAAUGUUGCCUUCAAAAUGUUUGAUAUACAAGUACAUGUAUUUAAUUUGAUUCAUAAUGAAAUUUUGGAUAGAAUUUUAUAUCUUAAGAAGUUAUUUGAUUGCAGGUUAAAAUUUAUCAUUUGUAAAUGGGAGUGUAAUGUAACUGAAUGUAUAAAUGGUAUUAGUGUGCAGAUAGAGAAGUCUGUAUUUGCAUAAUAACUUGAUAUUAAAAUGUACGUUACCUUAUAUUACAAAGUAUUUAGUGUUUAAGAUUGGUAUUAGGUAUCUUUAAAAACUUACUGCAAUGAUCAUGUUUGUUCCAUUGUUAUGUCAUUGUUAAACUGAGUUUAAUCUUAAUUGUGUUAUGAGUUAUCCACCUAAUUGUUUUAAAUAUGCAUACAUUUAAAAAGAAAAUACUCCAUAGUGUAAGUAUCACACUAAAUCCCAAACAGAAUAUUCAUACCAUGAUUAUUAACUAUUUUAUUGUGCUUUUAUUAGUAAAACAUAUAGGUAAAAUACUGUUGCUAAGUUUUUUUAGUUUUUUUUAAUCUGCAACAAUUAGAUUAUGGGUAAAAAUUAAUACAGUAAUACUGGAAUAUGUUAUUCUUCACCAUUAAAUAAACUUAAUCUUAUUCAUUUCAUGUAAACCUGGUUUCCAUGAUUAUAUUCAAAUAAAAUUCAGUCAUGUGGUCAUUCAUAUACAGUGAAACAUCUCAAGACCAGACCCUCUGUAAACUGGAAUUCCCUCAAAACCGGAUGCUUUACAGAGUCCCUUUUUA